GCCAGGGGCCAGUGACAGAUGAUUGGUUUUCCCUUGUCAAAUUGCCACAACCUUUAAUCACCUGAGAAAAGUGUCUUAAAAAAAAAGAUUUUUAAGAUCAAUCAUAUAUAUGUAUGAGCCUCCAUGAGUUUGUGUACACUCCAUAUGUGCAGGAAUCCAGAGAUGCCACAAGAGGGUAUUAUAUCCCUUGGAACUAGAACUACAGGUGGUGGUGGGAACCAAACCCAGGCCCUCUGGAAGACCAACGGGACUCAUAGUUCUCUUGUAAGGCUUAUGAAAUAAUUCGAGACAUGUUCUGGAGACAUGGUAAUUGGUGAACCUAACAGGGAGGUUGUCUCUUCUUAGACACUGUCAUAAGAUAUAUGGCAUCUUGUCUGAAAGGGUCUGUGUUGAGAAGACUCAAGUAGCCAGUCCCGUGGGAAAGACAAAGAUGUUUAAGGGCAUUCUUCUUCUGUUCCUGCUAGGGCCUUGUGCUGAGCACCCAUCCCAAGCUCCAGUGUUAGACGUGUGAGGUGGUAGGACCUCAAAGGGGCGCUCUUGCUGGAAGGGUUGAGAUCAUUGUGGGGUAAGGGGUGGGACUGUGAUGCUCCAAGGAGUAUGUGGAAUGCCUUCCCCUUCCUCUUUUACUUCCUGGCCACUGGGGAUGGGGCGGGGGGGGGGGGAGCAUUGUUGUGUCUCAUGCUCCCUGCCACCUACUUCGACUUUCUCACAUGAGGGGCUGUGUCAGUGGCACAGGCUAAAGCCACAGUGGCAAGCAUCUCUAUUGCCAAAGUCUGCUCAAAUUAUAGGCAAAUCUUACAAGAAAUAGCUCAAUUAGCUGAGCUCGAAGGGACUGGCCGCCCAUCCAUCAUUGGUAAAAUGUAAAUGUGAGAUGGCUGAAGAAGGCAGAAGGAAUAGUUUGGAAAAGGAAAAGGCUAGAAGGGUCAAGGGGAUGGAAAAAGAGACUCAGAAGGGAGGAGAAACUAAAGCUCACCCAGACACAAGAACAGGAUUGUCUUCAUGGGGAACGAGACAGACUUUCACAUCUGCGGCUAGAAGUAGAUUGACUGAAUAACGCCAAAGGACUGGGAGUUGAAAAGCAGGGUGACACAUCACAGAAAGGCUCCUCUGUGGAAGAACAGAGCCCAGAGAGUGUGUUCAGUUUAGCAUUCAUGUCUCAUGGAGUUCCUAAGCUGUGGGCCCCUCAGCUUGUCUGCCUCUUCUGCUGGCUUGAGAUCCCAGGAAUAGAGGCAACCUCAUUGUCAUUGGAAAACUGAGCUGGCAGAGGCCAUGGUUUGGAGGUAGAGGGACAGGGAGGAAAAGUAUUCACACUGGGGAAGGGCCUUGGCAGUAUGGUAGGCUGGGAGCCCCCGAUGGGGUGUUUGUAGUCUAAGAGAAUCCUUACUGGGAUAGCUGAAUAGUAAGGAGAGAGUUGCAGCAAGGGCCAAGCUUCAGAGCUCCCCUGAAAUAGACAUGCCUAGAGUCAUCAGACUGUUAGACACCUCAGCACUAGAGCAACACACCUACACACAAGCACACACUCAUGCAUACACACACACACACACACACAAGCCCGUAUGAAAACCUGCUUAGCUGAGUGUGGUGUCUGGGUAGGAACAAAGCUCUGGAUGGAGGAUGGAGGGAGGGCCAGCCAAACACCUCACCCUGACUUAUUCUUGUCCACAAAAGAAAAGUAAGGCCAGAGGUGAGACCAGCAGGGCCUCUGCCUUUUCCCUCUACAGAGUAACCUUAGCAGCCUGCCUUCCUCAGGCCUGCUUUAAAUGCCUCCCUCUUUGUGGGCAUUGGCUCAGCAUUCCUCAUUUGCAAUGCUAAGCUUUUUAUCUGUCCUCUCCUCAAAGCUCUGUAGUUAACUUGAAAGACCCAGUGAAGACAGAAAGCUGGAAGCCUGCAUUGGCCAAGGCCAGUGUCCAGGACAAAUGGAAGGUCACAGGAAUAAAAGGGAGGGGGAAGUUUCCAGAGAGUUCAAGAAAUCCCUAACAGAUUUGAGAGACCAAACUUUGCAAGUGAAGUUUGCUUUGCUUUGGGCUGGGGAAGCUUCUCUCAUUCUCUCCGUACCUUGACUUUAGCCUUCAAACCACCGUAAGCCAGGCCCAUCUGAGAAAAGAUUCUCUUCCCCCCUCCCCCUUUAAAAGAUUCAUUGAUUUUUAUUUUAUGUGUAUAGAUGUUUUGCCCACAUGUGUAUCUGUGCUGCACAAGUGUGCAGUGCCUGAGGAAACCAGAAGAGGGCGUCAGAUUCCCCGGGACUGGAGUUAUAGAUGGUUGCCAACUACUCUGUGGGUGCUGGGGACUGAACUGGGAUUCUCUCCAGGAACAACAAGUGCUCUUAACUACUGAGUCAUUUGUCCAGUCCCAAGAGUCUUUUUAAAAAAAAAUUUAAUUAUUAAAUGUAUGUGCAUAUGCAUGAGUGUAAAUGACUCUAUGUAUAUCAAGUGUGUACAGGCACCCACAGGAGCCAGAAGAGGGCAUCAGUUUCCCUGGAACUAAAGUUGCAGGUGGUUGUGAGCUACCACAAACUGCUGGCCACCAAACUCGGGUCCUCUGCAAGAGCAGUGAGCCCUUCUAACCGCUGAGACUUCUCUCCGGCCCAUAGAAGAGUCUUGGUGGGAGACUCUUCUGGAUCUGGCUGGCCUAUGGGUGACGGUCUUUGGCCUAUGGGUGAUGGUCUUGAUUGUUGAUUGAUGUAGGAAGACCCAGCCCAUUUCCACUUUACCGAUGUCUAGGCUGUGGAUCCUGAAUUAUGAGACGGGAGAAAGCUGGAUGAGAACAAGUGGGUAGCUUGCUUACUCUACUUCUGACUACAGAUGUGAUGUGACUUCUUGCUUAAGUUUCUGCCCUACUUCCCUGAAUGAUGGGCUCUAACCCGGAACUGUAACCCAGACAAACCUUUUCCUCCCCUACAUUGCUUUUUGUGCAGAUGUUUCAUCAUACAACAGAUAGGAAACUAAAUCGGUGACUAUUCGCCGUGUUUUCAGGCUCCUUUGUCGUAAAUAUGAGCACAGACCUGGUGUAAAGCUCUGGGGGAAGCAGAGUGCAGCCCGGGGACAGAUAGGACAGAUAGGGCACUGCAGAGAAGCGACCUAGGGCUUGUGCUCAGGUCUCUGUGGGGCUGCUAAAACUCACC
rnacentral:lncRNA from 1 species